AAUCCCUGUGUGAGAAAUUAGAAUUAUUUUUGCUAAUGUUCUUGUGUGUCUCACAGCUAGAGGAAUUUGGUUUCAAAUUGAAGUCUAGGAAAUCUGUUGGAUAUGAAUUGCGUUAGUUGGGAUUACGGGCAUAUCUUCUUUAUUUUAUUUUAUUUUUAUCCUAUUUCUUUUUGUUUUGAAAAUUUUAAAAAUUGAAUAGUAUUCCUAAAAAUCUGCUUCACUAGUCACAUUUCCCAUUCUUUCUCCCCAAUUUCCCCAUUCGUGUGUUUCAAUUUGUUCUCCAGUAAAGAAAUUCUAAAUUUUCUUCUUUCUUUCUUACUCUUUCUUUCAUACUUUAUUGUUUUCUUUGGAUAUCUCUCUUGCUUUUCCCAAGCAAAGGUUGUUUUCAAUUUUGUUCUUAUUUAUCCUAUUUACUGAAACGAUGUUGCUCGUAACUUCUGUUAUUUGCAGUUCCUUUCUAGUUGUUUCGACCCUAUGCGUAUUCAUGUUUGGGCAAGGUUAUAAGUUCUGUUGGUUGUUAUGCUAUUUAAGGGUGUUUAAUUAUUUUAUUUGCUAAUGAAGUGUUUUUGGAAAUUAUUUGUGUGUUGUGAUGUGUUAGGAGAAGAUCGUGUGGCGAUUGGUUCUCCGACAAACUGAGUUCGUUUUAAGCUAUGGAUUUGUUAAGGGGUACUGGAAUACGUGAUUUUUGGGCCUACAACAGAAUUUGACCAGGGAUGGUCGGAGAUGAUGUGUACCAGAUGGAGUUAGGAUCUGAAUCUGUAUCUGUAUCUGUAUCUGUUUUGCAUUUGAAUCUGUAACUGAUAUACAUAUAAAUGUGUAUCUGUUAUGCAACAAUGUCUAUAUCAGUUCUGUAAUAUGUUAAAACAUGUGUAUCUGAUUUACUGUAUGCAAUGAGUUACACACUAAGCUUGUAAGCUCA